CUCACACUGAGCCGCUCGUUUUACAGCUUAACACAUGCAAGUCGAGCGAGGCGGAAGGGGGCAACUCCUUCCAGUCGAGCGGCGGACGGGUGAGUAACACGUGGGUAACCUGCCCGGAAGUGGGGAAUACCUCGGGGAAACUCGAGCUAAUACCGCAUGACAUCUGCAUGUGGACGGAAGUCCUGGCGAUCAAAGCUGGGNGUCGCAAGAUCUCGCGCUACCGGAUGGGCCCGCGCCCUGAUUAGCUAGUUGGUGAGGUAACGGCUCACCAAGGCUUCGAUCGGUAACCGGCCUGAGAGNGGCGAUCUGGUCACACCUGGAACUGAGACACGUGUCCGGACUCCUACGGGAUGUGCAUGCAUGUGGGGAAUCUUGCGCAAUGGGCGAAAGCCUGACGCAGCAACGCCGCGUGGAGGAUGAAGGCCCUUGGGUUGUAAACUCCUGUCGGCUGGGAAGAAAUCGUUCGCUGUGCUAAUACCCGCGGACGUUGACUGUACCAGCAAAGGAAGCCCCAGGCUAACUACUAGUAGCCAGCAGCCGCGGUAAUACAGAGGGGGCCAG
rnacentral:rRNA from 1 species